rnacentral:misc_RNA from 1 species
UCCGGCUUGACGCCGGCAGUCUCCCUAGAGUCCCCGCCUUGACGCGCUGGCAACUAGGGACAGGGGUUUCGCUCGUUAUGGGACUUAACCCGACAUCUCACGACACGAGCUGACGACAGCCAUGCAGCACCUGUGGCAGGUUCCGGGCUGGUUACCGUUGGGGCGUCGUUUCCGCGCCCUACUUCCUGCCGCUUUCGCACAUGUCAAGCCCGGGAUAAGGUUCUUCGCGUAGCCUCGAAUUAAGCCACAUGCUCCACCGCUUGUGUGAGCCCCCGUCAAUUCCUUUGAGUUUCAGCCUUGCGGCCAUACUCCCCAGGCGGGGUACUUAGCACUUUGGCCUCGGCCGCGAGCCCAUGUCAGCCCGCGGCCUGGUACCCAUCGUUUAGGGCCAGGACUAC